AUGGAUGGAAUCAAAUACGCAGUAUUUACAGAAAAAAGUAUUCGUUUAUUGGGAAAGAAUCAAUAUACUUUUAAUGUCGAAUCGGGAUUCACUAAGACAGAAAUAAAGCAUUGGGUCGAACUCUUCUUUGGUGUUAAGGUGGUAGCUGUGAAUAGCCAUCGACUACCUGGAAAAGGUAGAAGAAUAGGACCUAUUCUGGGCCAUACAAUGCAUUACAGACGUAUGAUCAUUACCCUUCAACGGGUUAUUCUAUUCCACUUCUAG
rnacentral:rRNA from 1 species